rnacentral:rRNA from 1 species
GAACGUACCCUUCAGUUCGGAACAACCCAUGGAAACUUGGGCUAAUACCGAACUACGUCCGUACAGGAGAAAGAUUUAUCGCUGAAGGAUCGGCCGCGUCUGAUUAGCUAGUUGGUGAGGUAAUGGCUCACCAAGGCGACGAUCGUUAGCUGGUCUGAGAGGACGAUCAGCCACACUGGGACUGAGACACGGACCAGAACUCCUACGGGAGGCAGCAGUAGGGGAAUAUUUGGACAAUAGGGGGCAACCCUGAUCCAGCCAUGCCGCGUGAGUGAUGAAGGCCUUCGGGUUGUAAAGCUCUUAUGGCGGGGACGAUGAUGACGGUACCCGCAGAAUAAGCCCCGGAUAACUUCGUGCCAGACAGCCGCGGAUAAUACGAAGGGGGCUAGCGUUGACUCGGAAUCACAUGGGCGUAAAGCGACACGUAGGCGGACUCUUAAGUCGGUAGGUGAAAUCCUGGAGCUCAACUCCAGAACUGCCUUCGAUACUGAGAGUCUUGAGUCCGGGAGACGGUGAAGUGGAACUGCG